rnacentral:rRNA from 1 species
AUUGAACGCUGGCGGCAGGCCUAACACAUGCAAGUCGGACGGUAGCACAGAGGAGCUUGCUCCUCGGGUGACGAGUGGCGGACGGGUGAGUAAUGUCUGGGGAUCUGCCCGAUAGAGGGGGAUAACCACUGGAAACGGUGGCUAAUACCGCAUGACGUCGCAAGACCAGAGGGGGACCUUCGGGCCUCUCACUAUCGGAUGAACCCAGAUGGGAUUAGCUAGUAGGCGGGGUAACGGCCCACCUAGGCGACGAUCCCUAGCUGGUCUGAGAGGAUGACCAGCCACACUGGAACUGAGACACGGGCCAGACUCCUACGGGAGGCAGCAGUGGGGAAUAUUGCACAAUGGGCGCAAGCCUGAUGCAGCCAUGCCGCGUGUAUGAAGAAGGCCUUCGGGUUGUAAAGUACUUUCAGCGGGGAGGAAGGCGAUGUGGUUAAUAACCGCGUCGAUUGACGCUACCCGCAGAAGAAGCACCGGCUAACUCCGUGCCAGCCGCCGCCGUAA